GUUCUUAUAGUUAAAUUAUAACAGUAGUUUUUCAGACUACCGGUCUAGGUUAGAAUCUUAGUAGGAAUA
rnacentral:tRNA from 1 species